ensembl:lncRNA
AGCUGGGGAAGUUAAUUGCUUCCUAUACACACCCCUCCAUGCAGAGCAUAAAAGGGGUGUGCUGGGAGGGUUAUGGUUUGGCAGGAGGAAUGAGAUAGGAAGGAAGCUGUGUCCAGUAGUAGAGAUGAAGUCUGAACAUUCUACUUGCUGGUGCUUGCCCAAUAUUUCUUCAUAUUGACUGGAUUGUGUCUCGUAAAUGCUGCUAAUCCAAUGAACACUGAGCAUAAGGGUGACUGAAAUGAAGAUGUAAGGUGAAGAAAGAGCUCAAUACCAUCCAGUGGAGGAUUGUCCAGGUACCAGGACACCACUAUUUCAUGCUUAUUCAGAAACAUGUUUCUGAAGAAAAUCUGUUUUAUCUGGAAUUUGUCUGAAUGAUACAAUUGUGAUGUUACCAGCAGCGAUGUCCAUGAUACCAACCCUAACCACUUAGCAAUCAUCAAAUUUCAUUAAUUUGAAGAUAUAUUUGCUCCCUCAAAGAUGAAAAUGUUAAUAGAAAUGAGAGUUAAAACUCACUGAGUUCAUUAGGCUCCCCAAUUCUCCUUUGGUUCUGAGUAACAUCUCUUAGAAGCAUUUCUUUUUCUACAAGAAGAAAGUAGAAAUAAAUCUAUUCAUUGCUAUUGAAAAACUGACUACAAAUAGCUGUGAGUAGUUUUGUUUGAGUUGUAUCUGGUAUGAAUGACAACUUCAAAAAGUAAUGUGUAAUGUUGAGCAUCCUCAUGGUUUCUAUGUUAAAGUUUCUAGUGAAUAGUUUAGAAGAUAGAAAUUGUACAGCUUAUAAACUUACUAAGGUUUUGUGCAAAAAAUCGGAGUGGUGUUUGAAUAAUUAGUUAAGGAUGUAAUGCAAGAUAAAUAAUAAACAAAAAUUUUGAUAAAAUCAAGUUUUUUUAAUCACUUUCACAGAACAAGAGAAAAUAUCACCUUUUUUUUUUUUUUUUUUUCUAAUUUGAGUCUCCUAUCUUAAAGGAAAGUUAUUAUUUUCAUGAUCAUGGCUCAGCCACAGCUAUCUUAAACACUAAUGCUUUUCUCCAGUGUUUCAUGGAUUAUGAGUCCUUGGUACAAAAACUAGACUGAACUGGCUACUAAUUAUCUCCUCCUUGUUCUGCUGGGUCUUUCUAUAGCUCUUGUCACUACAAGACCCAGAUGACUUCUGAAAAUUUUCAUUGACUAUAGAACUUCCUCUAAUUAAAAAAUAAAUAAAUAGAAAAAAACAAAGCAGAUUAAUUUCCAAGUAAUCCUUCUCUGUGAAAUCUUUUCAGUUCCAUCAGUUCUUUUGUCUAGCUUACAUGUUAAGUUAAGCAUAGGUAUUGAUAGUCACAUCAAACGGCGCUGUCAAGGUUAAAUAAGUAAUGGUCCUUCAUUUUAUUUUGUACAAGACCUGGAUUUUAUUCUCAUGCCUUUCCAUACAGUCAAAUUAUAUGGGUAUUUUGAUAGACAUGAUUAUUGAAGGAGAUCAUUAAAGAAGUUUUGAUCGAAGGCACUCUGGAUUGUAGUGACCAUACCCUAAAUGAGUUCACAAUCUUAGGGAAUAUGGCCCUGGCAAAAAGCAGAGUCAGAAUGUAGAACUUCAGGAGAGUGAACUCCUGGCUUUUUAAGGAAUUAUUAAAUUGGAUCCCCUGGAAGACUGUCCUUAAAGACAUAGUAAUGGAAUAGAGGUGGCAUCUCUUUGAAGACAUCUUUCUGAGAGGACAAAAGCUCUGCACUCCCGAGCGUAAGAAAUCAAGCAGAGAAGGCUGGAAACUGGUAUAACUAAGCAAGAAUCUGCUGGACAAACUGAAGGAAAUAAAGGAAAAGAACAGGCAGUGGAAGCAGGGACACACGGCGUAGGAAGAAAACAGGGAUGACAUCUGAACAUGCAGAGUUUCAACCAUCAGGAAAGCCAAAGUGAGUUCUUUGCCUCAGUCUUCCCAGUCAGUCAGGCUUCCCAUGCCUCUUACAUUCCUGAAUCUCUAGGCAGGGGUUGGGGUAGCAAUAUCCAAGCAAUAGGAAGUCCAAGAUUACCUCAUAAGACUGAAUGUGUGUAAGUCUAUGGGACUGAAUGGCAUGUACCCCAGGGACCUGAUGGAACUGGAUGAUAUGGUUGCCAAGGCACUCUCCAUCAUAUUUGAAAAGUCAUGGCUGUAAGGCAAAGUACUUAGUGACUGAAAAAAAAAAAGGAAGCAUCACUCCCAUUUUCACAAAAGGGAGAAAGGAAGACCUGGGGAACUACAAGCUAGUGAGCCUAAUCUCUGUUCCAGGGAAGAUCAUGAGGAGAAGAUUUUAGAAGCUAUGUCACAGGCACAUGUGAGUUGAGGAGGUGAUCUGAGACAGCCAGCACAGCUUCACCAUGGGCAGAUGGUGCCAGACAAAUCUGGUGGCCUUACAUGAUGGAGUGACAGCAUUGGUGAGAAAAAGAAGUGCAACUGAUGUCUGCUACAUGGACUUGUGUAAAGCCUUUGGUAUGGUUCCACAUCACAUUCUUAUCUCAUAAUUAUAUAGAUUUGACGGGUGUACUCUGGUGAAUUAAGAAUUCUUUGGAUGGUCACAUGCAGAGGGUUGUUGUUAAUGUUGCUGUGUUCAGGUGGCAGGUCAUGGGUGGAGCUGCUCAGUGGUCUAUCUUGUGUGACAGAACAAGGGGAAAUGGCUUCAGAUUUAAAGAGGGGAGAUUUAGGUUAGAUGUUAAGCAGAAAUUCUUUACUCAGAGGGUGGUGAGGCACUAGACACAACCAAAGAGGUUGUGGAUGCUCCAUCCCUGGAGACAUUCAAGGCCAGAUUGGAUGGGAUCCUGAGCAGCUGAUCUGGUGGGUGGCAGCCCUGAUCAUGGCAGGGGUUGCAACUACAUGAUGUUUAACAUCCCUUCCAAUCUUAGCCAUUAUGUGAUUAAUUCUAUAAUUAUUAUUCCACUAGAGAACAUGGAAUGGGAGACAAUAAGUAACUGGAUUAGUAAGGUGAUUUGCUAUAAAAUGCACACUUACUGAUCUGCAGUCUUACAUCCUCACAUCCAUUUGUUUUAAGUCCUGUAGUGACAGUAAUGAAAUAUAAACUGGGACCUCCUCACAUCAUUCUACAGCUAGAAGAAUAUAAAGCAGACAAUAACACAAAAGUCAAGCCCAUACAUGCAAAAUAUGCCUGCAAAUUUAGGACCUUCCAGUUCAGCAUAUAUAAAUUAGUCAUCUUCUGUUUUAGAUACAGAAAGGCUUUUCCCUCACAAGGCUAUAUCAUACUGUUAUGCUUGGCACAAAACACUGCCAGGAUAACUUUGGGAAGAUAUUUGAUUUUAAAAGUUUUUGUUACGAAUCAGACAAGUAAGCAAGAAAUCACAAAAUCACAUAUCACUCCUGAUUCUAAAUAAUUCAGUGUUUGGUACAAGGUAUUCUAAUAUCUUUAAAGAGUCGACUAAGUAUCAUUAUACUGUUGUGCAUUGCCUUGAAAAACAGAGAAGCAACUCAAAAUUGCAAAAAAAUAUAUGAGCAAAGUACAGAUGAAAAUGAGUCUCCCCAAAUUUUAAGAUAUUGAUUUAUUAUAUCAAAGUAGAUGAUUAAUUACUGCUGUCACAAGAGCUUUGUGCACAGAUACAAACUUAUGUAUGUAUGGAAAAAUCCCAUUUUAUCUUCCAGAGGAGAAAUAUCAGUUUUGUGACUGAGGAUAGCAAGAUUGGAUAAGAAUCAGUUUACAAUUAACUACUAUUUACCAUUUAUAUACUUUUUUCCUUCAUAUCUUUAUAAAUAUUUCAGAGACUUAUUUUUGUCCCUUCGCAUUUUCACCUUUGAAGAACUAUAUUUAGGUUCAGUGAAUAUCUGUAGUAAAAUCAGAUUUAGACCUAGUAUAAAUAAACAUCUGAAAUCUUCAAAACCUUCUACAUAUUGUGCUACACAUGUCUGUGAAGGGGGAGAGAGAAAUUAUGCAACUAAUAAAUGAUUUAAGAAUGUGAAAUGAUUUUGAAUUGGUCUGGUCAACAAGGAAAGCAGGCAUUUUUCUAAGGUAUCUAUCAUAUAAGUAUUGUAGAUUUUUUCCUACUUCUAUUGGCAGCUUCUCUUAGCCUGCUAUCAAUAUAUUCCUUUUGUUUGUGACACAAAAGGCUUCCCACUAUAAUUUAGCAGGUUUUAUUUUCAAAGAAAAAUCUUGCAUUCUUUCUCUCUCCGUGUAUGCAUAACCUUUAUGAGGAAAGCUUUUACUUAGUGGGUGUUUUUUUGUUGUUUUGUUGUUGCUGUUUUUUUUUUUUUUUUUAAUUUCACAUUUACUAAUAAUAUGCUUUUCAGAAAAAGUAGGUGCUUUUACAGCAUCAUACAAGUGCUAUGUUUUGAAGGAGCAAUAUAGCAGUAUGUAUCUUUUUGCCCUUUGAUGUAAAUUCGUGAGGAAGAUAGAUUAUAGCAUCAAGAUGUUUCUCUGUGAGUAAUAAACUACCGAGCACAAAGUUCAUGGCUGAGAAUUGUGUGGGAUACAAGUGACUACCUUCACUACAAUCAAUUAUUAGGAUGAUUAUAUUGUGUCUGGAGAAUAUGAUGCUAAUGACUAGCUAACGCUUAGAAUACACACUCUUGACUUGAAAACCAAUGACAGUUAAAUGCAGCAAAGGGAAAGGCCUAUAUGUUGAGCUAGCAGCUCUCUAGUGUUGAUAAUGAAUAAUUAAAAAUAACAGUCUUUAUGUGUGGCUUGACAGUAUACAUGUCCUUUUAGUAUAUUCCGCUUUGUAAAGAACUUGGCACAAUGACAGCCAAAGAAAGGCAUCUUACCGCAUCCUGUACAGAAACUGUAUAGGAAAGCAGGGAGUUAAACACCCUCACUGCUGGGAGGGCCUAAGCAGGAUUAGCUAUGUAUUUACUGCUAACCUUCUACUACUCUGUCUUCUAAACAAAUAAAUAAUUGAAACCCAUUAUGUCUUUUAGGGGAGUUGCUCACAUGCUUUCUAUAUUCACAUCAAAGCAGAGAUCAGUGUCAAAGAGGCAGCCACAUUUAGCUGAGUCUCUCGGAGACUACUGAUUAAUUAGUUUUGCAUUUUGGAAGUGCAUCCAAAGAUGUAAAAUAGCGUUUGUUUUUACUAUUGCCAAAACUUGUUUAGGAGCUCUCUGGAGGGUGACGGUGAUGUACUCAAGAUGGUUGUGAAAGAAAAGGGCAUACAGUUCAGGUGCCAGAAAUCUCCAACCCC